AGAUAGGCGGUGUGGACGUCAGGCCUCUCCCGCAGGCCCACCGCGUUGGGGUCCCCACAACAUGACAAGGACGCGCCGCUAUAAGGAGCACAGGGGGCUCCGGAUUAAAUGCCGGGCCUUUAUUGAGUUAACAGUACACUUACUGAAAAAUUCACUUAUUUAAAGUGCGAGGUUCAGUGGUUGUCAGUAUAUUCAGAGUUGUGCAACCGUCCCCUCUAUCGAAUUUCCCCAGUUGGAAACCCUGUACCCAUCUAGCAGUCAUUCUCCGUCCCAGUCCCUCCAGCCCUAGGUCCAUGCUAUUCAGGUUUCCUCAGUUUUAACCUCAUGCCCUCCUGCUGCUCCAGGACCGUCCAAGACCCCACGUGGGACAUUUAGUCAUCACAUUCUCCUCUGGCUGCUCUUGGCCAGGACGGUCUCUCAGACUUUCCUGGUUUGAAUGACACUGACGGUUUGGAGGAGGGCUGGGCAGGGAUGUGCAGACUGUCCCUCUGCUGAUGUUUUCAGCAAAUGUUCCUCUGUCUGAUGUUUUCCUCAUUGUUACUCUGGGCUUGUGGGUUUGGGGGAGGAGACCACAGAGGGAAAGUGUCCUUCCCAUCACAUCCUGUCAGGGUCUGUGUUCUCAACACAACUCCUCACCAUGGCUGUGCACUUGGUCACCUGGCUGAGGUAUGUCUGUCAGGUGUCACCACUUCAGAGUUCCUCUUUCUUCCCUUUCCAUCCUGUUCUCUCUGGGGGGACGUCACCACAUGCAGCCCACACUUAAGGGGGGGUUGGCGUCCCUCCCGGAGGGCACAGCCGUCUAUAUAUAUGACUUGGAAUGCUUCUACACAGAUUUGUCUCUUCUCCCCGUUCAUGUAUUUAUUUAAUCAUUUUUAUAUCAGUAUGGACUCAUGAUACCUAUUUUUAUACUUUGUGUUUUAAUCUAAUGCUUUGUUGCUCAAGUUAUUCCAGCCUUAGCCUUGGGAACUCUUUUACUUUGUGUCCCUUUAACAGAACCCCUUUGUUGUGGGUUGUUGUUUUGUUUUUGAGCACUUCUUUCCUUUCUAGCUAUAUUUGUCUGCUAGGGAUACCAUAACAAAGCACUGAAGACUGGGAGGCUUAAACAACAGAAUUUUGUUUUCUCACAGAUCUGGAGGCUGGAAGUUCGAGAUUAAGGUGCCUGCAGCUUGGUUUCUUCUGAGGCCUCUCUCCUUGGCACUUAGACGGCCAUCUCCUUCCCAAGUCCUCACACGGCCUUUCCUCUAUGCGUUUACUCAGUCCUGAUGUCUCUUUCUCUUCUUAGUGUUUUCAUCUGACUGUUCUUCCAAUGAACCAGCUUUGGGUUUUGUUCAUCUCCGCUCUGCCCUCUCUCUCCCUCCUCCAUUGAUCU